AUUGAACGCUGGCGGCAGGCCUAACACAUGCAAGUCGAGCGGAGCGGCGGACGGGUGAGUAAUGCCUAGGAAUCUGCCUGGUAGUGGGGGAUAACGUCCGGAAACGGGCGCUAAUACCGCAUACUAUCAGAUGAGCCUAGGUCGGAUUAGCUAGUUGGGGGGGUAAAGGCAGAGAAAGGCGACGCACCGUAACUGGUCUGAGAGGAUGAUCAGUCACACUGGAAAUGAGACACGGUCCAGACGCCUAAGGGAGGCAGCAGUGGGGAAUAUUGGACAAUGGGCGAAAGCCUGAUCCAGCCAUGCCGCGUGUGUGAAGAAGGCCUUCGGAUUGUAAAGCACUUUAAGUUGGGAGGCGUUACCAACAGAAUAAGCACCGGCUAACUUCGUGCCAGCCGCCGCGGUAAUAC
rnacentral:rRNA from 1 species